UACGUAGGGGGCUAGCGUUGUCCGGAAUCAUUGGGCGUAAAGAGCGCGUAGGCGGCCAGAUAAGUCCGGUGUGAAAGUCAGAGGCUCAACCUUUGAAUGCCGCUGGAAACUGUCUGGCUAGAGUCCGGGAGGGGCGAGUGGAAUUCCUGGUGUAGCGGUGAAAUGCGCAGAUAUCAGGAGGAACACCUGUGGUGUAGACGGCUUUCUGGACCAUAGCUGACGCUGAGACACGAAAGCGUGGGUAGCAAACAGG
rnacentral:rRNA from 1 species